CCGGCAGCGCGGCCCGGCCGCGGGAGGGAGCGCCCCGGGGGAAGGCGCCGGCCGAGGCGGUGCCGGCGGCGGGGCGAAGGGGGCGAGGAGGCCUCAGCGCGUACGUCGGCGGCCUUACACCGCCCGAAGGGGCAUCGGCCGGUCUUCCGCCCGCCGGUGGCCGCGCCCUCGGCCCGCCCCUCCCCUCGGCCGCCGGCGGGCGGGAGCUCUGGCAGGAGCCGGGCGGGCAGCCCGGCCCGGCAGCCGCGAGUGGAGUGGGUUCUGAAAAACCAUUUUCAAGCGAGGAUGUCAACGCUCGGCCCCUGGGACAGGGGUGACAGGAAAGCGUUCCUGGAGAGUCCACAUUCCCUAGGCCCUGUGCGCGGGGAGGCAAGAAUUUCAGAUGAACAACAGUCAAUAUACUCACUUUUCCCCCACCCCCUCUUGAUUGCACCUUUAUUUUCAAGAGGCCAGAGAUAAGAUGGACACAGACUGGAAUUUUAAGCCCAUACUAUGACAUACAGGUAAUAAAAUGUUAUCCAUCAAUUAGCAGAUAAACACGAGGCACCUAAUGCUGUCCCCAUGUCCCAAACACUGGCUGAGUGGGUGCAGGGUUGUGUCUGCACUCACACCGCCCGGCUCCCAGAGCACACGGUGGGUUUGUGCUGCUUGUCCCAGCGUUCGGCAUACAAACCCCAGGCAUGGGAUCAAUGCAUUGGGUCCGUCAGGGCUCAGUCUAGUUCGGCUUCUCUGGUGUCUUUGUGCAGUACUGAGUGUCUGCGUGAAGGGAUGAGAUUCCUCACCUUUGCUUUCAGCAUCACCAAAUAUAGUCAUGCUGAGGAACUUUCAGCAUCCAGAUGGGAUGAUGAAUUCUCUUAAUCAACCCCAGGAUGUUAUUGUCUCAACUCAUAAAGCUCUUGAUCUGUGUUUGGACUGGGACUGGGAUUAUGUACGUGGAAACUUCAUCUAUGCUGUGAACAAGUCGUUCUCUUUGUCAUUAGAGUUUGGGAAGCAUUCUGUUAUAAAAAAGGACCUAUUGAUAAUACCCUUUUCGAAGUUAAUGAAACUCUUUCUGAAAGCAUUAUGGAAAUUUAUUACCGUGCCCCAGAAAUUACUGUCUUGGUAACUUGCUACCGUUUAGAUUGCCUUCUUAAUCUUCUUUGUCAGUAGGAUACUCUGUCAUUGUCACCAAAGUCCCGAAUUAUUAUCUUCAUUUAUACGUUAGAGAAAGACUAAAAUUGACCAAUUGUGCAACAAAACCUUUUUUGAUUAACAUCAUGUCUCCAUCAGAGAUAAAACUAACCAUUCCACCUGUACGGCAUGGAUGAGCGGGUUUUAUUUGAGGAAGGACAGCUGAUCUAACCAAGGCCACCCCCUCAAAAAUGGGGAGGACAUUAGGAUUAGCCUCAUGCAAUUUAAAUCACAUCUCCCACCUACUGAGAAGUUGCAUUAAGAAGCACAGAAGCACCUUAAAGUUGGGAAGUGCUGGGCACAGCAAAUCUGUGUGCACAGAGCUGUGAGAUGAAUCCAGACUUAACCACACGCGUGAUGUAGAGUCUGAUACGCUUGUGCAGAGCAGCUGCGUGGCCUGGGCGUCCGGCUUCAGAGCUACAGCGAGCGGCAGCUGCGCGCUUUGCGGGUUUGGAUCCUGUGGGCUUAUGUGCCUUAAGGCUGCACUGUGAUAUGUUUUUUAAUCACAAAGCCGUAAUCUUGUUUUCCCAGAGGAGCCCUAUUGCUAAGUAGGAAUGUUGUUCUUUCAGGAGCUUUUAGGAGAGCAGGCUCAAAUAAUUUGUUGUGUUUAGUUUAGCAAAAUAAAAGGUUAAGAGGAGAUUUCAUGUUGUCUCGAAAGGAGGGUAGACGUCAUGGAUGUAGAAUUGUUAUUUAAAUGGAAGACAAAUGUGUGUAAAAUGGGUGUUAAUUAAUGUAGAUCAUGAAUUAGAAGAUUUGGAAUUUUCAGAUCAAUGAGGCUGUGUAAAAACUUCCCAGUGCUGAGAGCAGAAAGCCCAGCCGCUUGGAGAGUGGAGCCUGAUCCAUUUGUAAAAGUGCUCAUGUGAUGUAGUUGCCUGAGUAGCAGGAGACUAAACUCCAGAAGCUUUCCAAUUCUAUGUUUUCAAUUUAAUGUUUCUUUUAUUGCUUAUUCCAUGUAAUGAAGAGUUUACUGCAUAGCAUUAUCCUUCACUGAAUAAAAAAAAAAUUAAUUUCCUUUAGA